AUUGAACGCUGGCGGCAGGCCUAACACAUGCAAGUCGAACGAGUGGCGGACGGGUGAGUAAUGUCUGGGAAACUGCCUGAUGGAGGGGGAUAACUACUGGAAACGGUAGCUUAUACCGCAUACCAUCGGAUGUGCCCAGAUGGGAUUGGCUAGUAGGGGGGGUAAAGGCUCACCUAGGCGGCGAUCCCUAGCUGGUCCGAGAGAAGGACCGGCCACACUGGAACUGGGACACGGUCCAGACUCCUACGGAGGGAAGCGGUGGGGAAUAUUGCACAAUGGGCGCAGGCCUGAUGCAGCCAUGCCGCGUGUAUGAAGAAGGCCUUCGGGUUGUAAAGUACUUUCAGCGGGGAGGCGUUACCCGCAGAAGAAGCAACGGCUAACUCCGUGCCAGCAGCCGCGGUAAUUC
rnacentral:rRNA from 1 species